AGAGUUUGAUCAUGGCUCAGGACGAACGCUGGCGGCGUGCCUAAUACAUGCAAGUCGAGCGAGCUUGCCUAGAUGAAUUUGGUGCUUGCACCAAAUGAAACUAGAUACAAGCGAGCGGCGGACGGGUGAGUAACACGUGGGUAACCUGCCCAAGAGACUGGGAUAACACCUGGAAACAGAUGCUAAUACCGGAUAACAACACUAGACGCAUGUCUAGAGUUUAAAAGAUGGUUCUGCUAUCACUCUUGGAUGGACCUGCGGUGCAUUAGCUAGUUGGUAAGGUAACGGCUUACCAAGGCAAUGAUGCAUAGCCGAGUUGAGAGACUGAUCGGCCACAUUGGGACUGAGACACGGCCCAAACUCCUACGGGAGGCAGCAGUAGGGAAUCUUCCACAAUGGACGCAAGUCUGAUGGAGCAACGCCGCGUGAGUGAAGAAGGGUUUCGGCUCGUAAAGCUCUGUUGGUAGUGAAGAAAGAUAGAGGUAGUAACUGGCCUUUAUUUGACGGUAAUUACUUAGAAAGUCACGGUUAACUACGUGCCAGCAGCCGCGGUAAUACGUAGGUGGCAAGCGUUGUCCGGAUUUAUUGGGCGUAAAGCGAGUGCAGGCGGUUCAAUAAGUCUGAUGUGAAAGCCUUCGGCUCAACCGGAGAAUUGCAUCAGAAACUGUUGAACUUGAGUGCAGAAGAGGAGAGUGGAACUCCAUGUGUAGCGGUGGAAUGCGUAGAUAUAUGGAAGAACACCAGUGGCGAAGGCGGCUCUCUGGUCUGCAACUGACGCUGCGGCUCGAAAGCAUGGGUAGCGAACAGGAUUAGAUACCCUGGUAGUCCAUGCCGUAAACGAUGAGUGCUAAGUGUUGGGAGGUUUCCGCCUCUCAGUGCUGCAGCUAACGCAUUAAGCACUCCGCCUGGGGAGUACGACCGCAAGGUUGAAACUCAAAGGAAUUGACGGGGGCCCGCACAAG
rnacentral:rRNA from 1 species